rnacentral:lncRNA from 1 species
GGGUCUUAACCGGCACCCAGCGAGGGGUCCCUGAGCUUAGGACACGCCUCCCGGAAGCGCGGAAGUGCGGCCCGAGGGGGCGGAGCGAGGACCCACCCUCCAACUGACAGCCGGGAACUUUCCCGCCCUGACGGCUCCGCAAAACUGGAAUCCUCGUCCCCACCGUGGAGUUCUUUCCCUUUUACGGCAUCUGCGGGUGCUACUCUUCAACUUGCUGUAAAGUGAAACUGCUUCCCGGGCGUGUAGGAGUUGGAGAAUGAAUGGAUUUGUCCUGUGUACCUAGUAGCCGACUGACUUCUGAAUGCGGUUUUCACAGGCAUUAUUCCAGUUGGAGAUAUAAAGCGGAGAACUAUCAUUCUCAUAACUGUUCUGAGAGUCACCAUGUCACAUCUUUCACUCCUCAAGCCUUCAGAAUUCCAGUGCUAAACAUUUAUCUGGCAUCUAAGGAAUAAAGCAUUCAGGAUAGAAAGGCUGUGAUACUACCCUGCUAGUGUCAAUCCAUAUGCACCAGGUCCUGCUGAGGGGUUAAAUAGGUUGAUACAGGGAUGGAAGAAAACAAUAAAGUGUCUGAGAGAAAUUCUGAGGAAAAAAUACUGUGCACCGCCUUUAGGGAAGGUCACCUGUAGCUCUGCAUGACUAAGAGCAGCCAUCAUAGACACUAUGGCACAAGCAGCCCAAAUACUCAGGGAGACUCCACAUUGAGUGAGGUGUAUUUUAAUGCUCCUUCAGGAGAAACAAAUAUGCGCGUACCUAUUUUGAUACCGAAUAACAAAUUUGUUCCAUGGAAAUGUCCUAUUACUCAUUGAAGCCAGGUAUUUUCCUCCUUCUUCAUUUUUUAAACUGGAAACUUAAUUUAGAAAGUUAACAUAAAUUCCCAGUUUUUAUUCUGUUUGCUGUGCUUCUGAAAGGCUUCAUGUAAUCUUCUUGUAGUUAAGUAUUUUGCUUUCCUCUUCCUCCCUUACUCAAAUAUAUUUUGUUAUAGCACCUAACAUAAUUUUAAAAACUCACUUGUGAGUUAAUUGAACUAAUUUCUGAAAUCUUAAUAUUGAAGUUAAAAUGUUUUACCUGUUAAGCAUUUAAAAAGCUGUGCACAAUUAAGCAAGUUAGACACAGCUAAUUGAGAAUAAGAGAUGAAAAAAAUGCAACCUCAUUAAUGUUGACCCUUACACAGUAAUUCUUUACAUUUGUACAAUGAGAAAAUUACUAUAGAAUGAUGAAAAAUAUGAGGUUUGAAUCACGUGAUAGCAUAUCUUGAAUCACACACUCAUCUGCCACUUCCUAGUAAUUCUGUUUCUUAUUGAUUUCAAUUUCAUCAUUAAACAAUAGAUCUGAUAAUCCCUAUCUUGUUUUUAAAAAGAGAAUUAUAUAAAGGAGUUGAAGUAGUUUAUCUAUAAAGAAAUACUAAUAAAAAUCUCCUGGUAGUGUACAUAAUGUACAUUAUGACUCCAUAAAUGUUAGUUUUGUAAUUGGGUUAUUCUAAUUAUUACUAUCUACAGUAUAUAGAGGGUGCUUCAGCUACUUUAAGAUGCUUUAAAAUAUUUUGUAGUUAGUUGCAAAUUAGGCUUAAUUUUCCACAAGCACAUCACUUAGUACACAUAUUUUGGGUUUUAUACUUCCUCUAUUGAACAAAUUUACAAGCAAAAAGACUCUUAUAUAAGCAUAAUUUAUCUUGUCAACAAUAUGUUGAAUUAAUCUUUAUCCUCUUGAAGCUCCUGUUUAAAGAAGAUAUAUAUAAACCAACAGUUUUUAAUACAGCAGUUGUAAACUUAAUAGCCAACCUUUCCGUGGCACCUACUAUGUGCCAGGAGCUGUGUUUAACACUUAUAGUAACUUAUUAAAUCAAAUCAGCUACCUUGUCAGAUAAUACAGAUAAAUAAGGAAAUCAAGGUAUAGGAAAUUAAGUAAUUUUCCAAGGUUACUGUUACAUAACAAAAAAUAUAUAUUCAGUCUUUGCCCCUGGUUCCUGGCACAGAGCUCCUAAAACUCUUGGGAUUUCCUGAAUGAUAGAUGUAAGAGGAGCAUAUAUUUUGCUAUUUAUAAUAAGCACCUUUCAGCUACCCCUGAAUUUAUGCUAGUGAAGUGACUCUUGGAGGAUGGGGGCUGGUUGCGGGGAUAACCACCAUGUGAUUAGAGGAUUAGAACUUUUAACACCAAUUCCAGGGAGGAAAGAAGGGCAGGAGAUUAAAUUAAUCACCAAUGAUCAAUGAUUUGAUCCAUCAUACCUAUUUAAUGGGGCAUUUAUAAAACUCCUACACUAUGGGGUUUGGAGAGAUUCUGGGUUGGUGAAUACAUUCACAUGUUGGGAGCACGGUGCACCUCAAACUCCAUGGGGACAGAAGCUCUGAUGCUCAGGACUCUUCCAGACCUCACCCUAUGUACCCCUUCAUCUGGUGCUCAUAUGUAUCCUUUAUAAUAGCCUUUACAAUAAGCUGGUAAUUGCAAGUAAAGUGUUUUCCUGAGUUCUUUGAGCAAUUAUAGCAAAUUAUUGAAGAAGGGUUUGUGAAAACUCUUGAUUUGUAGCCAAGUUGGACAGAAGUGUGGGUAACCUGGGAAUCUAUUAUAAUACAUAUGCUUGGCAUCUGAUGGUGGUGGGCAGUUUUGUGGGACUGAGCCCUUAGUGUGUGAGGUCUGUGCUAACUUCAGGCAGUUAGUGUGAGAAUUGAAUUAAAUUGUCAGAUAACCAGUUGGUCUCUGUGGAGAACUGGAGUCUUCAGUAGAAAACCCACACAUUUGGUGUCAGAAGUCUUGUGAGUACUAAAACUUCUUUUUUUGUGUAGUCACUCAGCUAUGCACUUAAAUGAACUGAAAUUAAAAAUUUAAUGUUUAUAAAAUUUUUUAAACAUAUUUAUGAUUUUACUUAUAAAGAAAUCUGUAAAGCCACAAAAAGUCAAGACACAAUUCAAUGAUUGAAAACCGGUUUGUUUACUUAAUGGCAACUUUUUCGUGGGUCCUUUACUUAUCCAACCUCAGCAGUGCCUCUCCUUUGCAGGCACUGGAUUAGGAUUGAGCACCCAAGUCCAACUCCAAGAAUAAGCGCAUUGGUAGCCUCAUUCUCCCUUUUCUCACAAGUGGUAAAGUUACCAUGGUCUGUCAGUACAGGUUAUUGCAACCAGAUAAAUAGACUUACGUCUUGACUGUGAGAAUAGUGUUCUGAAAAUCUCUAUACCUGUUAUAGUUAAAAGCAAAGCUCCUUGGAAAUAGUCUACAGUGCUUUUCCUCUAUUUUCCUUUUUCUGAAAAAGCUUUCUUUUCGUACUCAACCUAUGAUAAAUCUUGGAACUAGCGUCCUGAUGAAAGAUUUGAAGUAUAAAUAGUAUGUGGUAUUUUGUUUCUAAAAUUCUGUAAUUUUGGCCAGGUGUGGUGGCUCACGCUUGUAAUCCCAGCACUUUGGGAGGCUGAGAUGGGUGGAUCACCUGAGGUUGGGAGUUCGAGACCAGACUGACAACAUGGAGAAACCCCAUUUCUACUAAAAAUACAAAAAUUAGCCAGGUGUGGUGGCAGGUGCCUGUAAUCCCAGCUACUUGGGAGGCUGAGGCAUGAGAAUCACUUGAACCUGGGAGGCAGAGGUUGUAAUGAGCUAAGAUCACGCCGUUGCACUCCAGCCUGGGCAAUAAGAGUGAAACUCUGUCUCAAAAAAAAAAAAAUUCUAUAAUUUUUUUCCUUUACUAUCUCUUCUUCCACUUUUUAUGAUAGCUAUCAUAAGACACAAUUUUUUUUUAGGUAAUUUUAAAAUUAUACUUUAAGUUCAUAAGACAUAAU